GGUCGAUUAGCUCAGUUGGUUAGAGCGUGGUGCUAAUAGCUUCAGCUAGCAACGCCAAGGUCGCGGGUUCGACCCCCGUAUUGACCA
rnacentral:tRNA from 1 species